rnacentral:sRNA from 1 species
CACACACGGACUUUGGUGUCUGCCCGGGAGAAAUCCGGCUGGGACCUCCGGUGGCGUUCGAGGGCUUUGCCCGACGACGCCUGUGUCCGUGGAGGCUAACCGGAAAGGAAAAUGA